rnacentral:sRNA from 1 species
GAUUGCAAAUGAGUUAAAAGGAAAAAAAAAAAACUGUAAUCAGUUGACUGUUUACAGUCAGUUACAGAUCCUUGUUCUACUCUUUCCUCCCUUCUCACUACUUGACUAGUCUUUA